rnacentral:rRNA from 1 species
UACGAAGGGGGCUAGCGUUGCUCGGAAUCACUGGGCGUAAAGGGUGCGUAGGCGGGUCUUUAAGUCAGGGGUGAAAUCCUGGAGCUCAACUCCAGAACUGCCUUUAAUACUGAAGAUCUUGAGUUCGGGAGAGGUGAGUGGAACUGCGAGUGUAGAGGUGAAAUUCGUAGAUAUUCGCAAGAACACCAGUGGCGAAGGCGGCUCACUGGCCCGAUACUGACGCUGAGGCACGAAAGCGUGGGGAGCAAACAGG